UAAUACGGGGGGUGCAAGCGUUAUUCGGAAUUAUUGGGCGUAAAGGGCGCGUAGGCGGUCUCUUAAGUCAGAUGUGAAAGCCCGGGGCUCAACCCCGGAAGUGCAUUUGAAACUAAGGGACUUGAGUAUGGGAGAGGGAAGUGGAAUUCCUGGUGUAGAGGUGAAAUUCGUAGAUAUCAGGAGGAACACCGGUGGCGAAGGCGACUUCCUGGACCAAUACUGACGCUAAGGCGCGAAGGCGUGGGGAGCAAACAGGAUUAGAUACCCUGGUAGUCCACGCCGUAAACGUUGAUUACUCGAUGUGUGCGAUACACUGUACGCGUCUGAGCGAAAGCAUUAAGUAAUCCACCUGGGGAGUACGAUCGCAAGAUUG
rnacentral:rRNA from 1 species